rnacentral:misc_RNA from 1 species
GAAAGAAAGAGAAUUGGUGGCAGUAAAACAGAACUGGCUAAGCUUGUAAAGAAGCCGGCUUUGCCUUGGGGUUCGUUUACACUAUACACUACAGUCACUGCAGAUUACACGCUUGCUUUAUAAGAUCCAUAUCUCUUCCUCUACUACCCCUCUCCGUUCAUUGACCAUUUAUAUUGUAUAUAUGGAAAGUAUAUACAUCUGGUAUUCUUAAUCUCACUCUGUGUGCUUUGCACUGUUUGCUUCCAUAGAGAGAUUUAACAGUGGAUUUAACAGAAAAUGAAAAUGGAAGACUGUAAUUUUACAUUUCAUAGGGAAAACGUGUACCUGUCCAAUGGCGGAACUGACGGAGCUAACAAAUAUCUAGGAUUGGC